ACUAUUUUGGCAGAAAAAAUGUAAUGAUUUUAGAAAUCAUAAAUAUAUAAAUAAUUAACAUAUAUAUAUAGUA
rnacentral:tRNA from 1 species